rnacentral:rRNA from 1 species
AGCAGCAGCCGCGGGAAUACGUAGGGUGCGAGCGUUAAUCGGAAUUACUGGGCGUAAAGGGCUCGCAGGCGGUUUCUUAAGUCUGAUGUGAAAGCCCCCGGCUCAACCGGGGAGGGUCAUUGGAAACUGGGAAACUUGAGUGCAGAAGAGGAGAGUGGAAUUCCACGUGUAGCGGUGAAAUGCGUAGAGAUGUGGAGGAACACCAGUGGCGAAGGCGACUCUCUGGUCUGUAACUGACGCUGAGGAGCGAAAGCGUGGGGAGCAAACAGGAUUAGAUACCCCAGUAGUCCCUGUCUUUUAUAU